UUAAUUUGAGAUGAAUACUCAUAUUCACAUAUAGAGUAUAAUGAUCCUCAUCUGAAUAGGAAGAUCUGAUGC
rfam:Nicotiana sylvestris Nsyl_contig87964, whole genome shotgun sequence.